GGGCCGGGCCGGGAUGCUGCAGCGGCGGCUCGGAGGCGCGCGCACGCACUGACCGGGCCCGCGCCGGGCCUCGCGCCCCCCGCGCCCCCCGCCGCCCCGGCCCCGGCCGGCAUGAUGUGCCUGGAAUGCGCCUCGGCGGCGGCGGGCGGCGCGGAGGAGGAGGAGGCGGACGCCGAGCGGCGGCGCCGGCGCCGGGGGGCGCAGCCAGGGGCCGGAGGUAGCUCUUGCUGCGGGGCGCGGGGUGCGGGGGGCGCUGGAGUCGUGUCCGCCGACGAAGAGGUGCAGACGUUGUCCGGCAGCGUGAGGCGGGUCCCGUCCGGACUCCCCAGCAUCCCCAGCACCCCGGGCUGCGCAGCCGCUGCCAAGGGCCCCGGCGCGCCGCAGCCCAAACCCGCCAGCCUGGGCCGAGGGCGGGGGGCAGCCGCUGCCAUCCUGAGCUUGGGCAACGUGCUCAACUACCUGGACAGGUACACUGUGGCAGGUGUUCUUCUGGACAUCCAGCAGCACUUUGGGGUCAAGGACCGGGGUGCCGGCUUGCUGCAGUCAGUGUUCAUCUGCAGCUUCAUGGUGGCUGCCCCCAUCUUCGGCUACCUGGGCGAUCGCUUCAAUAGGAAAGUGAUCCUUAGCUGCGGCAUCUUCUUCUGGUCGGCUGUCACCUUCUCUAGCUCUUUCAUUCCUCAACAGUACUUCUGGCUGCUAGUCCUGUCCCGAGGGCUAGUAGGGAUCGGUGAAGCCAGCUACUCCACCAUAGCACCCACCAUCAUCGGUGACUUGUUUACCAAGAAUACACGCACGCUUAUGCUAUCAGUCUUCUAUUUUGCCAUCCCACUGGGAAGCGGCCUGGGCUACAUCACAGGUUCCAGCGUGAAGCAGGCAGCCGGAGACUGGCACUGGGCUCUGAGGGUAUCCCCCGUCCUGGGCAUGAUCACAGGAACACUCAUUCUCAUCUUGGUCCCAGCCACUAAGAGAGGCCAUGCUGAUCAACUCGGGGGCCAGCUCAAAGCACGGACCUCAUGGCUCCGAGACAUGAAGGCUCUGAUCCGAAACCGCAGUUACGUCUUCUCCUCCCUGGCCACAUCUGCUGUGUCCUUCGCCACAGGGGCCCUGGGCAUGUGGAUUCCCCUCUACCUGCACCGUGCUCAAGUUGUACAAAAGACAGCAGAGACUUGUAACAGCCCACCAUGUGGCGCCAAAGACAGCCUCAUCUUUGGCGCCAUCACCUGCUUUACUGGCUUCCUGGGUGUAGUCACAGGUGCGGGAGCCACUCGCUGGUGCCGUCUGCGGACUCAGCGUGCUGACCCACUAGUGUGUGCUGUGGGCAUGCUGGGAUCUGCCAUCUUCAUCUGCCUCAUCUUUGUGGCUGCCAAGACUAGCAUUGUGGGAGCUUAUAUCUGCAUUUUUGUUGGGGAGACACUGCUGUUUUCUAACUGGGCCAUCACUGCAGACAUCCUCAUGUAUGUCGUCAUCCCCACACGCCGAGCCACUGCCGUGGCCUUGCAGAGCUUCACCUCCCAUCUGCUGGGGGACGCUGGCAGCCCCUACCUCAUUGGCUUUAUCUCAGACCUAAUCCGCCAGAGCACCAAGGACUCCCCGCUCUGGGAGUUCCUGAGCCUGGGCUAUGCCCUCAUGCUGUGCCCCUUUGUGGUGGUCCUGGGUGGCAUGUUCUUCCUUGCCACUGCUCUCUUCUUCCUCAGUGAUCGUGCCAAGGCUGAGCAGCAGUCCCUGCCCAGCGCCUCCGGUCUACCGGCCCCAGUGAUGCCACGUGCCAGAGCCGUGCCUGGGCCCAGUACCCGCUGAUGUGCCACCCUGACCCCCGCCCGUCUCUCCCUCAGGGUGAACCAGCUGGUGAUGCCGCCUGCAUCCGUGAAAGUCUGAGGUGGUGCCGCUGGGACAAUGAACUGCAGUUCGGAUUAGGAGAGGUCCUCCAGCAUCCUGGACCUGUAGGACUGUCCCAAAGCCUCCUGUGCGACUCACAGCUGGGUGCUCACCCUCUUUGGCCUAGGACUGAGUGGCCCUAUCUCCAAGAAGAAGCUGCACCCUCAGUUAACCCGGAGGGCUAUGUGUGCUGGAGCCACUUAGCUGGACACAAUUCCAGCCCUGGUUGGGGCCAAGAGAGAAGCCAGCCUGCAGUGGGUAUUUGGGGAGAACCUGGCCUGCCCUUCUCAAGGGAUCCUGAGGGAGCCCCUGUCCUCCCUGACAGUGGAGCCAAGGAGCUGGAGCUUCCUCCAUUGUGUGCCACGCCAGGCACCCUCCACAGCUUUGAAGAAACAGGUCUUGGGCUGUACAGACAUGGCCCAGGUGUCAGGACCUCAGUUCCGGUUCCAAAGUCCCCCAAAUGCCCUGGUGUAUGGGACCACGUCCCCACUUUUAGGCUCUGACCUUGGGGACAACAAAUUUGGCCUGGUAUCCACCCCACUUUUAGCUGGGUACCCACUGCUGGAUAGGACAGUCACCGGAGAGGAUACUCCCAGGUGGGACGACCCCUUUGGAGGCAGCAGCAGCACUGGAGGUGAAGGCCCUGGCAGCAGGCAGCUGCACCAGGGGCUGAGAGCUUGAGGAUCUACUUCCUCACCCCAACCCCUGUAGCCCCCCCAGAAGCCCCCCUCUCCUAAAGGAUGACCACCAUAGCCCUUCCAAUUAGUCAGAUCGGCUGCCGAAGGCAGUUCCCAGCUGUCCAUACUGCUUCUUGACCUAGGGUAUUUAACUGCUGGAGACUGCGCAUACUCCAAUUGACUCGUGGGGCAGGCUUUUACCCAUAUACCCUUCACUUGUCUGCAGCCACCUUAGCCACCUCUGGGCACUUAUCCCCAGCUUCACACUCCCUGCACGUCGUGACCGAGCUGGCUCUGGUCCUGUGGUACCGUUGUAACCUACAGGAAACUUCUAGAACCAGCUUGGGCAACAGUCCCUGUGGCUGUCCCCCACUUGCUGACUGUGGCUUUAGUGGCAUAGUGGUACCAACCCCACAAGUUCUGGGGCACCCUAAGGGUUUGGAUGUGGGUGGGCAGAGGGUGCUAGCUCUAAAGACCAGCCUGGCUCCCUCCCUAAUCCCAGCAGGGGCCCCAGCGAUGUUUUCUUGUUGUACAAGAACCAGGUCCAAGUGUUGCCUCCUCUUCCUUCCGGAAGCUGAACUGCUCCUUUAUUUUUUAGAGCUGCUGAUUGUGAAUUUCAGAGUCUUAAGAGAGAAGCCAAAUAUAUAUUCCUCUUGUAAAUGAAGAAAUAAACCUAUUUAAAUGUU